GCUAGUUUGCAGUGGCUGCAGCAGGUGUUAUUCGAAGAGGAUGUUGUUGCUAAUUUGUUAGCGUCUCCCUUUUAAACAGUAACUUUCAACAAGAAGUUAAGUUUCAAAUGAUCAUCAUCAGCUGUUCCUGUCAAAGAAGUAAAGCCUUGUCCUAUACACGAAGAGAUGUAAUGGAUUUGAGAGACAAUCGUGGGACACAGAACAUCUAUUUUCUCAUUAACGUGUGGAUAAACAGAACAGCCUGGCCAGAGUGGCUGCCUGGCUUGCCUGACAACCUAUGGGUGGACCGAGGGCCAAGGACCCUGUUGUCCCUCUGGAUGUCACCCUGCUAC